UGGGGAAUAUUGCGCAAUGGGCGAAAGCCUGACGCAGCGACGCCGCGUGAGGGAUGAAGGUUUUCGGAUCGUAAACCUCUGUCAGAAGGGAAGAAACCGCACUGUGCUAAUCAGCAGUGCCUUGACGGUACCUUCAAAGGAAGCACAGGCUAACUCCGUGCCAGCAGCCGCGGUAAUACGGAGGGUGCAAGCGUUAAUCGGAAUUACUGGGCGUAAAGCGCACGUAGGCUGCUUUGUAAGUCAGGGGUGAAAUCCCACGGCUCAACCGUGGAACUGCCUUUGAUACUGCUUAGCUUGAAUCCUGGAGAGGGUGGCGGAAUUCCAGGUGUAGGAGUGAAAUCCGUAGAUAUCUGGAGGAACAUCAGUGGCGAAGGCGGCCACCUGGACCGGUAUUGACGCUGAGGUGCGAAAGCGUGGGGAGCAAACAGG
rnacentral:rRNA from 1 species